AGUGAACGCUGGCGGUAGGCCUAACACAUGCAAGUCGAACGGCAGCACAGGAGAGCUUGCUCUCUGGGUGGCGAGUGGCGGACGGGUGAGGAAUACAUCGGAAUCUACUUUUUCGUGGGGGAUAACGUAGGGAAACUUACGCUAAUACCGCAUACGACCUACGGGUGAAAGCAGGGGACCUUCGGGCCUUGCGCGAUUGAAUGAGCCGAUGUCGGAUUAGCUAGUUGGCGGGGUAAAGGCCCACCAAGGCGACGAUCCGUAGCUGGUCUGAGAGGAUGAUCAGCCACACUGGAACUGAGACACGGUCCAGACUCCUACGGGAGGCAGCAGUGGGGAAUAUUGGACAAUGGGCGCAAGCCUGAUCCAGCCAUACCGCGUGGGUGAAGAAGGCCUUCGGGUUGUAAAGCCCUUUUGUUGGGAAAGAAAUCCAGCCGGUUAAUACCUGGUUGGGAUGACGGUACCCAAGGAAUAAGCACCGGCUAACUUCGUGCCAGCCGCCGCGGUAA
rnacentral:rRNA from 1 species